AGAGUUUGAUCCUGGCUCAGGACGAACGCUGGCGGCGUGCUUAACACAUGCAAGUCGAACGGGGCUAUUUGAUUUCGAUUAAAUAGUCUAGUGGCGAACGGGUGAGUAACGCGUGAAUGACCUGACCUAAAGAGGGGGAUAACAACGAGAAAUCGUUGCUAAUACCGCAUAGGACCACACUGCCGCAUGGCAGAGAGGUGAAAGGAGAAAUCCGCUAAAGGAGGGGUUCGCGUCCCAUUAGGUAGUAGGCGGGGUAAAGGCCCACCUAGCCGACGAUGGGUAGCCGAGCUGAGAGGCUGAACGGCCACACUGGAACUGAGACACGGUCCAGACUCCUACGGGAGGCAGCAGUGGGGAAUAUUGGGCAAUGGGCGAAAGCCUGACCCAGCAACGCCGCGUGAGGGAAGAAGGUCUUCGGAUUGUAAACCUCUGUCCUUGGAGACGAAGGAAGUGACGGUAACCAAGGAGGAAGCCCCGGCUAACUACGUGCCAGCAGCCGCGGUAAUACGUAGGGGGCGAGCGUUGUCCGGAAUUACUGGGCGUAAAGGGUGCGUAGGCGGCAAUUUAAGUUGGAUGUGAAAUACCCGGGCUUAACCUGGGGGGUGCAUUCAAAACUGGAUAGCUAGAGUACAGGAGAGGGAAGCGGAAUUCCUAGUGUAGCGGUGAAAUGCGUAGAUAUUAGGAGGAACACCGGUGGCGAAGGCGGCUUUCUGGACUGAAACUGACGCUGAGGCACGAAAGCGUGGGGAGCAAACAGGAUUAGAUACCCUGGUAGUCCACGCUGUAAACGAUGAAUACUAGGUGUGCGGGGACUGACCCCCUGCGUGCCGCAGUUAACACAAUAAGUAUUCCACCUGGGGAGUACGAUCGCAAGGUUGAAACUCAAAGGAAUUGACGGGGGCCCGCACAAGCGGUGGAUUAUGUGGUUUAAUUCGAAGCAACGCGAAGAACCUUACCAGGGCUUGACAUCCUACUAACGAAGUAGAGAUACAUCAGGUGCCCUUCGGGGAAAGUAGAGACAGGUGGUGCAUGGUUGUCGUCAGCUCGUGUCGUGAGAUGUUGGGUUAAG
rnacentral:rRNA from 1 species